UACGAAAGGUGCUAGCGGUGUUCGGAAUUACUGGGCGUAAAGCGCACGUAGGCGGCUUGGUAAGUUGGGGGUGAAAUCCCGGAGCUCAACUCUGGAACUGCCUUCAAAACUGCUAGGCUAGAGGAUGCGAGAGGUUGGCGGAAUUCCGAGUGUAGAGGUGAAAUUCGUAGAUAUUCGGAAGAACACAAGUGGCGAAGGCGGCCAACUGGCGCAUUUCUGACGCUGAGGUGCGAAAGCGUGGGGAGCAAACAGG
rnacentral:rRNA from 1 species